rnacentral:rRNA from 1 species
CGUGUAGGUGGUCAGGUAAGUCAGAUGUGAAAGCCUUCUGCUUAACAGAAGAAGUGCAUUUGAAACUGCUUGGCUAGAGUACGGGAGAGGAGAGUGGAAUUCCCGGUGUAGAGGUGAAAUUCGUAGAUAUCGGGAGGAACACCAGUGGCGAAGGCGGCUCUCUGGUCCGAUACUGACGCUGGGACGCGAAAGCGUGGGGAGCAAACAGGAUUAGAUACCCUGGUAGUCCACGCCGUAAACGAUGGGCACUAGGUGUAGGAGGUAUUGACCCCUUCUGUGCCGAAGCUAACGCAUUAAGUGCCCCGCCUGGGGAGUACGGCCGCAAGGCUAAA